rnacentral:rRNA from 1 species
GUAUGCCUAACACAUGCAAGUCGAACGAAGUCUUCGGACUUAGUGGCGGACGGGUGAGUAACGCGUGAGAAUCUGCCUUGAGGAUGGGGACAACAGUUGGAAACGACUGCUAAUACCCGAUGUGCCGGAAGGUGAAAAUUUUUUGCCUCAAGAGGAGCUCGCGUCUGAUUAGCUAGUUGGUGGGGUAAAAGCGUACCAAGGCAACGAUCAGUAGCUGGUCUGAGAGGAUGAGCAGCCACACUGGGACUGAGACACGGCCCAGACUCCUACGGGAGGCAGCAGUGGGGAAUUUUCCGCAAUGGGCGAAAGCCUGACGGAGCAAUACCGCGUGAGGGAGGAAGGCCUUUGGGUUGUAAACCUCUUUUCUCAGGGAAGAAGAUCUGACGGUACCUGAGGAAUAAGCAUCGGCUAACUCCGUGCCAGCAGCCGCGGUAAUACGGAGGAUGCAAGCGUUAUCCGGAAUUAUUGGGCGUAAAGCGUCCGCAGGUGGUCUUUCAAGUCUGCUGUCAAAGACCAGAGCUUAACUCUGGGCAGGCGGUGGAAACUGAGAGACUAGAGUUCGGUAGGGGUAGCGGGAAUUCCCAGUGUAGCGGUGAAAUGCGUAGAUAUUGGGAAGAACAUCGGUGGCGAAGGCGCGCUACUAGACCGAAACUGACACUCAGGGACGAAAGCUAGGGUAGCGAAAGGGAUUAGAUACCCCUGUAGUCCUAGCUGUAAACGAUGGAAACUAGGUGUGGCUUGUAUCGACCCGAGCCGUGCCGUAGCCAACGCGUUAAGUUUCCCGCCCGGGGAGUACGCACGCAAGUGUGAAACUCAAAGGAAUUGACGGGGGCCCGCACAAGCGGUGGAGUAUGUGGUUUAAUUCGGUGCAACGCGAAGAACCUUACCAGGGCUUGACAUGUCCGGAACUUUUCUGAAAGGAGAAGGUGCCUUCGGGAACCGGAACACAGGUGGUGCAUGGCUGUCGUCAGCUCGUGUCGUGAGAUGUUGGGUUAAGUCCCGCAACGAGCGCAACCCUCGUCUUUAGUUGCCAGCAUUAAGGUGGGCACUCUAGAGAGACUGCCGGUGACAAACCGGAGGAAGGUGAGGAUGACGUCAAGUCAGCAUGCCCCUUACGCCCUGGGCUACACACGUACUACAAUGGUUGGGACAAAGGGCAGCGAACCCGCGAGGGAGAGCGAAUCUCAUCAAACCCAGCCUCAGUUCAGAUUGCUCUCUGUAACUCGAGAGCAUGAAGGAGGAAUCGCUAGUAAUCGCAGGUCAGCAUACUGCGGUGAAUUCGUUCCCGGGCCUUGUACACACCGCCCGUCACACCAUGGAAGUUGGUCACGCCCGAAGUAGUUACCCUAACUUUCGAGAGGGGGACUCCUAAGGCAGGGCUAGUGACUGGGGUGAAGUCGUAACAAGGU